rnacentral:misc_RNA from 1 species
UAGGUGUCUGCCGUUCGAGUUGGAUCGUUGCGUGAAUUUUCCUAACCUCACUCUCUGUUGAGAAGAAAUUUUGAAAUUUUUGCCUUUCAGUGUGUUGGUGCGCGAGAAAAGAAAAGAAUUUCAGGAAGGAAUUUGCGCGUGUGUACUUCUCACGCCGGUGUUGGUGCGAGACUUCGAGAUCGUCGUGAAGAAGGAAAAAUUUUCACGUUGCCGCAGAGCGGCAGUGAAUUUCGUGCGGAAAAGGCAUUUCUGGGAAUCGAUCGCGCGGGAGUGAAGUUUUCUGGCAAAAGUGAGCAAAAUGUCGGACCUCGAGGAAAUCGGUGACAUGAGCAAUUUCGAUGCCUGGCUGGAGAAGGACUUCCUGAGCAAGAUCAGCCGGCUGGAGACGGAGUGCGAGGACGCGCGGGAAAAGAUCAAAACGCUGGACAAGGAUCUGCGCAAGAAGACGAUCGAGUGUGACAUUUUGAGGGCGAAGGUGGGUAAGCUGGAGACGGUUCCGUCGAACAAUGCAGCGUCCAACGAGAAGAUCGAGAACCUGGAGAAGGAGCUGAAGCGGAAGACGAUGGAGUUGGACAUUUUGCGGUCGAAGUUGUCGAACUCGGAGACUAAAACAGAGGGAUCGAACGAUCUGGUGGAGCGGGUGAAGCAGCUGGAGAAGGAGCUGAAGAAGCGAAUCAUCGAGAACGGUAUUCUGCGCGGAAAGCUUACGGACAUUGAGACGGAACCGCCCACGCCGGAAGCGCAGGAAAAGCUCGACGAGCUGGUGCGGGGUUUGCAGCGAACCGAGAGUGUGGUGAUGAAGGAGAAGAUCAAGGAGUUGGAGGGAGACCACGAGGUUUCGGAGCGAACGGGCGAACUCGAGCGGGAGCUCAAGAAGAAGAGCAUCGAGAGUGACAUCCUGCGGUCGAAGCUGAAGCAGUUUGAGAACUCUCCCGGUUCGAACACGGACUCGAACGAUCGGAUUAGGGAGUUGGAGAAGCAGGUGCGAAAGUACCAGAUUGAGGCUGAUAUCCUGAGGGGCAAGGUCACCUCGAUGGAGAGCGACGCAGCAAAUCGGGAUGAGGAUGAGUCAAACGAUAAAAUCGAGGAGCUGGAGAAGGGACUGCAGCGAAGCACCACCGAAGGAAACAUGCUACGGGCCAAGAUGAGGAUGUUUGAGACUGACGCUACGGCUGCCCACGAUUCGAGCAGCGAGAAGAUCGAGGAGCUGAAACGUGGACUGAAGAAAAGCACAACCGAGAGCCACAUCUUGCGCUCGAAGCUGUCCGAGAUGGAGAACAAGCAGACCGCAAGCGGUGCCAGCUCGUACAAAAUCGAAAACCUCGAGCAGGAGCUCAAGAAGAAGGUCAUCGAGAACGAUAUUCUUCGAUCGAAGGUCGAUCAGCUGGAGCGAGUUCCGCUGGCGGACAGCCCCGCAAACGCCAAGGUCGAGGAGCUCCAGAAGGAGGUGCGCAAGCUGAAGAUCGAGAAUGACAUACUGCGAUCGAAGCUUAACACAGCGGAAGAGGAACCGAGCGAUUCGCAGGAAUCCACCGAUCGCAUCUCCGAGCUGGAGAACUCGCUCAAGAAGCGCUCCAUCGAGACUGACAUUCUGCGGGCCAAGGUCGUCCAGCUGGAGUGCGAACUAUCCCCAAGCAAAAACUUCAACGAGCGCAUCGAAGACCUCGAAAGCGAGAUGAAGAAGAAGCUGCUCGAGAACGACAUCCUCAAGUCCAAAGUCUCCCAGCUGGAAAGCGAGGUGCUCAAGCACCAGUUCGAAGGAAACAAAAAGGGUGAAACCCAAGAAAUAAAGAAGCUCAAAGAAAAGCACGAGGAGGUGCUCACCAAGGCGAAGGAACUGCUCUUCGAGCGCACCAAAACCGUCAAAACGCAAGAGAUGCAAAUCAAAGCGCUCCAGAACCAGAUCGAAAACAUCAAGGAGGUCGUCACCAUCACCAAGGACAUGCUGAACAUCCGGAACAUGGAGCACGAGCAGCUGCAGACGCGCUUCGAGAACAUCGACACCCGGAUGCAAGCGGAGCGCGAACAGCAAACGCUGCUGGAGAAGAAGCUGGCGGCCUCGCUUAAAGCGUACAACGAUCUGAAGGACGAGUACACGAAGCAGGUGGAACUGUUCAAGACGGUGCAACUAGCUGGCUCGAAACAAAAGAAAUAGGUGGUAGACUCCUGCUCCUCCUUCCCCUUCCGGGAGAGGAAAGUUGGGCCAAGAGUUUUCCUCUCAUCCCCCUCACCCCACGUUGUAUUCUACAAGCACUAAAACUGAUGCACAUUUUCUCUAAAUUCACGCACACUAACACAGAGAAGACACGGCUUACGAAAUAUACGUUAUGUAGUUGGACGGAACAGGACCGGGAAGAUGACGAGAAGAAGACACAUUCUGACUUUUCCAACCAUUUCCAUCCUCUUUUCUUCUCCUCUCCUCACCACCCCAAAAAAAAGUCGCACAAAUCGUUGUGUUUAUUUAUCCCCCCCUUCUCCAAACCACCUAAUAAUCACACGUGUAACCAUAACCCAACUCGUUUUUCUUGGAGUCAGCUGAAAACUGCCGGUGUUGAUUAGAAACUAGACAGUAAGCCCUCUCCGUCCGCUUGCUCUCCUUGCAGGACAUCCAGAAAACCUACACCGAAAAGAUCGAACUCAUCAAGGAGGAAGCCGAG